GUGAAGGAGGCAUGCAGCACAUAUACUAAAAUUGGAACGAUACAGAGAAGAUUAGCAUGGCCCCUGUGCAAGGAUGACACUCAAAUUCGUGAAGCCUGUUCUUU